rnacentral:rRNA from 1 species
UACGUAGGUGGCAAGCAUUGUCCGGAUUUAUUGGGCGUAAAGGGAGCGCAGGUGGUUUCUUAAGUCUGAUGUGAAAGCCCACGGCUUAACCGUGGAGGGUCAUUGGAAACUGGGGAACUUGAGUGCAGAAGAGGGAAGUGGAAUUCCUGGUGUAGCGGUGAAAUGCGUAGAUAUCAGGAGGAACACCGGUGGCGAAGGCGGCUUACUAGACUGUAACUGACGUUGAGGCUCGAAGGCGUGGGUAGCAAACAGGAUUAGAUACCCGGGUAGUCCCUGAGCGGG